CAAGGGCUGGUCUUUGCCCACCAUCUUGUUUGAGACAGGGUCUCUUUCUGUUAGUUGCUGUGCAAUCCAGGCUAGCUUGCUGGUGAUUCCCCUGUCUCUGUUCCUCAUCUUGCUGUAGGAACACUGAGGUGACAGUGUUGCUACCACGCACAGCGCUGUGUGGAUGUUGGGGAUUGGAGCUUCCGUUCUUACGCUUGCGCAGCUUGUGCUUUAUGCACUCAGCGUCCCCUGCUGCAUUGUUGUACGUGUGCUGGUCUUUGUUAUCUGCUUCUUCUAGUGACAAAACUAGACACGCAUAAGGACUGUUUGGAGGCUUUUUCAGUAACUCAGUUAUUUAUCACACACAUUUAAAAGUGUCUACUCUGAAAGAUGAACAAAAUAAUGGUUUUAAGUACCAUCGUUGCCAAAUAUCUCAGAAACUUGUAACUUUAUUCUUUAAACAAAUGAUUGUGAACCACUAUUUGGAUGCCGGGAAUCAAACCCAGGUCCUCUGGAAAAGGCAGCCAGUUGUAAUAAGGUUGUGAUACGUUUCAGAAUCAUUUAUUUCCCUUAGCAUGGAUUAUUCUCUUUCUGGGUUUUGUUUUUUUUUGUUUUUUGUUUUUUGUAUUAUCUUUAAUUUCUAGCACUCCACUGACAACAUCAGCAGCUAUAAGAUAAAACGUAUACUAGAAAGGAUCAGAGAGAAAAAAAUGAGACGCUGGAGACAUGGCUUAGUGGUUAAGAGCACUGGCUACUUUUCCUGAGGACCCACGUUCAAUUCUCAGCACCUACAUGGUGGCUCACAAUUGCCUACAACUCUGGUCCUGCAUGUACACAGCACACUGACUCCAGCCAGAGCAGGGACUGUCAGAAUUCCUCUCAAGACUUCCUUUUUCUGCAUUUGCUUUGCUUUACACAACUGCUUUAGCAUAUAGAAAACUUGUUCCAAUGCCCAGUAAACUGUGUGUUAAUUCCUGGAGGCAUCUGAAUUAAGGUUUAAAUUAUUUGUUCCCUAGCCUAAGGCAGUUUUUUCACACUGGUUCACAUAAGUCUGGCAAGUAAAGUAGGCCUCACCAUAUCUGCCUGAUGCAUCCUUGAGAAUUAGAGGGGAGGGAGCAAUGAAAAGCCUUCAGAAAGCAUUUGCCAUAGUGAAGGUAUUUACUUGACAGCACCAAAGAAGUCAAGGUAUUGCCAUCAUUAGCUGACAUGUUAUCAAAUACAGUAUUGAGUCAGGAAAACAUUAACUUAUCUAACAGUAAAAAAACUCAGUGAAUCCCUUUGAUGGUGUAGUGAUUAGUAAUUCCUUUUCAGUUUUUUUUAAAUGAUCAUUAAGGGUAUUUUUAUAAGUUGUCACUAAUAUCCAGUCAUCCUAAUCACAUAGAGUUCCCGAAGUGAGAUUUUUAGUAAAUAUUCUCAUAGUCUUAAAAAUAAACUUUAAAAAAAUAGUAUAAUAUUUUUUGAAUAAAAACUUAAAAAAUUUGUAUAAAACAUUUUUGUUAAAUAUUGCUGACAAACUUUUAGGGAAACAGUUCCCUUCACAAUAGCCACAAAUAAUAUAAAAUAUCUUGGGGUAACGCUAACCAAACAUGUGAAAGACCUGUAUGACAAUAACUUCAAGUCUCUCAAGAAAGAAACUGAAGAAGAUCUCAGAAAAUGGAGAGAUCUCCCAUGCUCAUGGAUUGGGAGAAUUAACAUAGUAAAAAUGGCCAUCCUACCAAAGACAGUCUACAGAUUCAAUGCAAUCUCCAUCAAAAGCCCAACACAAUUCCUCAAAGACAUGGAAAUUUACAAAUCCAUCUGAAAACCUAGAAUAGUGAAAACAAUUCUUAACAAUAAAAGAACAGCUGGGGGAAAUCACCAUCCCUGACCUCAAGCUUUAACUACAGAACAAUAGUGAUAAAAACUGCUUGGUAUUGGUACAGAGAUGGAUAUGUUGAUCAAUGAAAUAGAGUUGAAGACCCAGAAAUGAAACCACACAUUUACCGUCACUUGAUCUUUGACAAAGACGCCAAAAAUAUACAAUGGAAAAAAGAAAGCAUCUUCAAUAAAUGGUGCUGGUCUAACUGACUGUAUGCAGAAGAAUGAAAAUAGACCCAUAUUUGUCACCUUGUACGAAGUUCAAGUCCAAGUGGAUCAAGGACCUCAACAUAAAACCAGAUACACAGAAUCUUAUAGAAGAGAAAGAGCACAGGAGGAAAUUUCCUAAACAGAACCCAAAUGGCUCAUGCUUUAAGAUCAAGAAAUGACAAAUGGGACCUCAUAAAACUGGAAAGCUUCUGUAAGGCAAAGAAUAUAGUUGAUAAGACAAAUCGGCAACCUACUGAUUCCCAAUUUUAACUAGCCCCACAUUUGAUAGAGGGCUAAUAUCCAAAAUAUAUAAAAACUCAAGAAGUUAAUCACCACAAAACCGAACAACCCAAUCC
rnacentral:lncRNA from 1 species